rnacentral:rRNA from 1 species
AUUGAACGCUGGCGGCAGGCCUAACACAUGCAAGUCGGACGGUAGCACAGAGAGCUUGCUCUCGGGUGACGAGUGGCGGACGGGUGAGUAAUGUCUGGGGAUCUGCCCGAUAGAGGGGGAUAACCACUGGAACCGGUGGCUAAUACCGCAUAACGUCGCAAGACCAAAGAGGGGGACCUUCGGGCCUCUCACUAUCGGAUGAACCCAGAUGGGAUUAGCUAGUAGGCGGGGUAAUGGCCCACCUAGGCGACGAUCCCUAGCUGGUCUGAGAGGAUGACCAGCCACACUGGAACUGAGACACGGUCCAGACUCCUACGGGGGGCAGCAGUGGGGAAUAUUGCACAAUGGGCGCAAGCCUGAUGCAGCCAUGCCGCGUGUAUGAAGAAGGCCUUCGGGUUGUAAAGUACUUUCAGCGGGGAGGAAGGCGAUGUGGUUAAUAACCGCAUUGAUUGACGUUACCCGCAGAAGAAGCACCGGCUAACUCCGUGCCAGCCGCCGCCGUAA